GCAGAACCGAACCCAAACCGCCAGCAACAGAAGACAGGUCUGUACGCAUCACUAAACACGUGAUAUUACAUAAAACAACACACUGCUGAUUCUGAUUAUACUGUAUGUGAUGAAAUUCCGUUCAUGGAUAUCUCCGCCCCGUGAGGAGUAUUAAUUGAGCGGUGUGUGUGUAUAUAUAUAAAGGGCAUCCCAAGGCUAGCGUGAUAUCGCGUAUUGUUAUGUCUGGGUUUCCGGUAGUCCGUCGCUUUAUCUGAGGUAGGUGUUUGCUUAGCAUGGCUAUAGUUUGGCAUUUGUAUUGUUUGUUGAUUAACUUUUCUGUGCAGCUGGUGUCUGUUCGUGGUUACUUUAUUACUGCUUAAGAGGGUUGGCUCCCCUGCGUUACUGCUGUAGAGUUCCUGUUUGAAAAGAAAUCGCUUGAAUGUACAACACAGAGUGCUGUGAGGGACUGCUGCUCUCCUGUCAGGUACGUAAAGUGUUUUUUUUUUUUUUUUUUUUUUUUUUUUUUUUUUUUUAAAUGUGCGUGCACGUGUAACCCAGGUUACUAAGAGCCUGUUAAUGUAAAAUAGAAAAAGGGAAUAAAAACCAUAAAACUCGUGAAUAUGUAAUUCAGUACUUUAUUUUAAUAACAUUUGUGAAACAGAAAAUAGGAAAAUGCAUAAAUUCAAAAAGAAAUAAAACUAAUUUGAAAAAUGUAUUCAAAUAAAACAAAGUGAAGAGUGGUCCAAUGAGGAGAGCGAAGAGUUAGCCCCGCCCUAUGAUCGGAGAUGAGAGAGAGAGAGAGAGAGAGAGAGAGAGAGAGAGAGAGAGAGAGAGAGAGAGGACGAAGAGAGAACGCGCGAUGAGAAAGAGAGAAACAACAGUUCCGACGCGGUCCUGAAAAAGAAGAAACCGAAUUAGAGCACAUAAAUCAGCAGUUGUGUCAAGAGAAAUAGCAGAUUUCGAGAGAAAAAAUGUGAAUUGAUUGUCAGUCGAUUUAUCACGGUUGAUGCUAGCGCAAACUGUUACGGAGGAGAGAGAAACUUACAGAGGUUGGAGUUUUGCCUGUCUGGAAACUUCAUAACUAGAAAAUUCGAAUUCUCUUGAUUGGGUUAUUUUUUAUUUUUUUCCUCUCUAUCUUCUGUUUUCCAUCAUCCCUUGAGUCGGGUGCAGCAUAUUUUCUGGAACCGGACGAUUGUUGAAGAAGACUUUGAACUUGAACUGUCCCUGCAUUGCACUAGAAAGAGACUGCGAGCAGGAACUGGCGAGCCAUGCCCAUAUAAGGAUCGAGCUACGAGAAUCAAGAAAGUGGUAGGAUUGUGCAUACGCUUUUCCUUCGCUUUUUUUUUUCUGAUUGAAUUGUGCUGCUCAGAACUCAAUUACGGAAGGAGGAUCUCGUGUAAGCAGCACUGAACUGGAGCUAAAGUUUGGUGAAACCCUAAUCCACAUUGGGACUGUUAUUGUGAGCAGAUGAGAAGCGUUCCCGAACACAGAACCAGCAAAAACAAACCCAGACCGCCAGCAACAGAAACCAGAGAGGAAAGCGCGCAGCACAUAUUUACAUAUUCAUCUAAACGUCAUUCUCAGCAGUGUGGGCAGUGUCAGAUGUUCAAUAACAGUAUAUCGCUGCUCACAUAUUUCGAACUUUGUUUUACCCCCAAACGAAGAAUGGAAAAGAACUUCGCCUUAAGUAUAUCGGAGCCUUUAGAUGAUGAUUUAUUUAGUUUCAUUUGAAGUUACCACCAUGGUGAUCAGUGUUUGUUUUAGUUGGGCUCUUGGCCCGUGACUUUAUGACAUCCAUUUUUCUCAUUUUUCGCUGUAACUAUAUGUUUAUAUGAUCAGGUGUCAGUGUUAUGUAUUGGUAAUGAAAGUUGUCAUUUAGUGACUUGGUUUACUGAUCUUUUUCAGAGCUUAAUCUCUGAUUAAACAGGUGAUGUAUUAUUAGUUUAGAAUUCAUUAUAGCAGGUCUGUGAUUCUACAGUGUAAAAUCCUUUGUUGUGACAAUCAGAUUUUAAAAAUCUCUAUGGUCUCAUGCUGACUCACACAGAUAUAAAGAAACAGCAUAUGAACCUCAACAAUGGUGAAAAAUAACAAAAUAUUCAGAUAAACCUCUGAACAUCACAAAACAAGUUACUAAAGUCACAACAAAAAUGACAAACAUAAAAGCAAAUAGUAAGAAUAAGAGAAAAUAGAAAAUCCAGCUGUAUUAUUUAUUCAUGCCACAAUGCAUGCUGUGAGCCAUUGUUGUUGUUUUUUUACUGUGCUAGUACCCAGCAUGCAUUGCAGCAUUAAUUUUUUUUUUAAUGGUCACCAUUGUUGACAUUCAUAUGCUGAUUCUUGAUGUCUGUGGCAUAGAUAAAAACAUUUUGUGCGCAAACUGUUUGUAAACACUAAAUGAUCAUCAUCCACUAAAUCAUACUUAACCAGCACCUGAUCAUAUUUUCUCUUGGCUUUUGUGCCAUAACAAAUGUGUUUUAUAAACACUUAAUUACAGCAGCCAAAGAAAAAGGAAUGUCAAGAGCUCAACUAAAGCAAACACUGAUCUCCGUCAUGGUGACCUUAAACAAAACUCAAUAAAAAAUCAACAUUUAAACCUCUGUUAGCUCUCAAUAAGAUCUUCUGUAGACGUGUGACAGAAAUAAAGUCAGUCUGGUUAGUAAUAAGUGAAGCUGGUAAUGCUGUUUGUGGAGUUGUUUAAUACUCCUCUGCUGAGAUCUUGAGAGAUUAUCUCCCGGUUUCACAGACAAGGCUUAAGCUAGUCCUAGACUAAAAUGCAUGUUUGAGCUGUUUUAGCUGAAAGUAACUUGUACUGACAGAUCUUAAAAUAUGUCAGAGCCAGUGUUUUGUCUUGAGAUGCACACCAGUAAUGUUUUAUUUUUCUAGUGUAUGUUUAUAAAAGCUACUUAAAUGCCCUAACUGAACUAAGGCCUAAUCCUAGCUUAGGCUAAGCCCUGUCUGUGAAACCAGGCGUAAAUGUUUAUCUUCAGUUGAUUUGAGUGAAAUGAACUCAUUAUUACUUAUAACUGUUAGGUUUUACAGUCUAAAACAUCACACUGCUGAUUCUGAUUAUACUGUGAAAUGAACAAUAACAAUCUUCAAACUGAUAUAAAUUACUUUGAUUAUUGUACCAUUAAGAACACUGUAAUAUUGGAAGUAAUAACAGUAUUGUAAUACUGUUGUUAUAUUGUGUAACUGAAGUGAAACUGCAAUGGUAAACCUCGACUCUUCAGAAGAAAACACUUCUCUUUACGGUUGAUGUCAAACUGAAUUAACCACAUGAAAGCUGAUAUGUGCAUCUUUUUAUGUUUAUACAGGAGAUAAAAUGUGUCUCCACAAAUGUUCAAAACAGUUUGCUUUCAAAGAGGGAUCAUGUGAUCAAAAAGUUGUAUUAUGGGUAGUGUAGUUUGUGUGCUUACUAGUGGUUUGCUGAUGGAGUUCAACUCUAGUAUUUCCUGUUGUUGUUCUUGUUGUUUCAGUUUCUGUUUGAUGAGUCACUGAAAGAGAGAAAAACACCAGUGAUGUGUGAAUGUGCCACUUAUGCAAUAUAUUAACCAAUAAUAAUAACAAACCCUGACAGUAGACAGAAACACACAUAACAUUGUUUGCAUAACAUUGUUUUUUUUUUUUUUUUUUUUUUUUUUUUUUUUUUUUUUUUUCUUCUUCUGUUCAUAACACUGAUUACUGAUAAUCACAUUACAUUAGUGCUUAUUUAGAAGAUGCUUUAUUAUCUGAAAUGAUACAGAGUAACUUUGGAUAAAAGUGUCUGUUAAAUGCAUGAAAACCCCACGUGAAGUAAUGCUGCGUUCAUGUCAUGGUUGUAUUACUGUCAUUACGAGAUGAUUUUACUCAGAAACAGUCCCAGAAACUAGAACAAAAAAGUGUUAAAGAAAACGCUGGCUUGUAAAAUGACUAAGCAAACAUUUAGUUUUUACAUUUAAAUCAAGCAUCUGUUGAACGUCACAACCUUUAAAUGUUGAGUGUGCUGCAAUUUUAGUUUAUUUUUCAGAAGUUGAAGAUUUGAUGAAAUUCAGAGUUUCCAAGUUGGUGCAAGUUUGUGAAAGACAUAAUUUGUCUAGUUUGAACGUGUAAUUACAGGAAUAUUAUCAUGAUCAUAAUUGCAGCAUUAAAAUUGUAUAGAAGC